GGUCAUCUGUCUAUCUAUCCAUCCCUCUGGGGAGAGAGAAGAGAGAAGGGAGAGUGAAUAUCGCCAUCUAAAACUUUGGAAAAGUUUGAGAACUGAUUUGAGCUGCACAUCCACUAUAACGGCAUCUUAUACGAGCUCAGAUGAAAAAUUACUGAGAACGAAAGACACAUAACAGGAUUUGUACGUUACCUGCAUAUUCACAGACUUUGCUUUCGGAGAACCCGGAGACAUCUGAGGACACUCGGGUCUGCGCAGCGGACCAAACCUCACGCAGCAUCACCAUGAGAUUCUUCCAUCCACUCUAUCUCCUUCUGCUGCUGCUCACAGUCCUGUUCAUCACCAGUGCCGAAAAACAAGACUUUCUCAACCUGAGGCGGAAAUAUCGCAGACACAACUGUCCAAAGAAACGUUGUCUGCCUCUUCACUCCAGAGUGCCAUUCCCUUGAGGUUUCACAACUACUCAACUAUCCACAACUAUGAUGUCUUGUCAAGCCUUAAGAAAACCAAAGACCAGUGAUGGAUGGGAAAUGAGAGAGGAGUUUCAUAUCAAGACUCACCGAGGACUGUUCAUUUGCCCGUAUACUGUAACCAAGCCAUGCUAGUCACUUCUGUAAAGGAAGUGUAUUGUUUUAUGAAUGUUAAGUGAACAAGCCAUGGGGACAUCAACUGCAACCAAACAUGCUGAAAACUCAUCGCUCAAUCAGUUUGAGUUUGCCAGAACCAUUGUAAAUAGUAAGAACUGAUUGAUAUGUGUUUAUAUG